GGGUCUGUUGGUAUUGGAGCAGUGCCACUCCACUCAAGCUGCAGAUGACGAUUCAAAAAGGGAUGGUUCUUUUAGCCAUGUCUACCCUAUUAUAUGAAAGGGGAAACUUUGCUGAAGCCUUUGAGAAACUGCAGAGCAUCCAAGAUUUGAGCUCGUCUUCUAUUGCUAUUAGAGUUGCUGCUACAGAAGCUCUAGUAGGAAUCCAUCUCGAAUU